AACACAACGACGCCUUGCGCAUCAUCCACGUACUUGUCAAUGCGCCGACUUGCACAGGAGACGCGGUCGCGGCGGCCUUUCCGCCUCAUCUUAGCGCUCACGAGCGCCCUUCGAACACAGGCUUCGCGAAGCCAGACAUCUGACAACGCGGCGCCUUUCCACAGCCACCUCGAUGAGGACGAAAUAGCAUCCCUCUUUCCAGGCAACCCUGGCGCGCAUGAGGCAAGUCGGAAGCCACGUCAGCGUCGACGCCGCGGCAACGGUGAAGCAGACACGUUGCUGAAAGACGUAUACGCGCUUGGCAAGAUCGUCGCCGACGAGCAGAAGCGGAGUCGCGUAUCCAUCCCAGCUUCGCGGUUGGGGGGGAGAUCCGGCCCAAACACCCGGGCGCCGAGGAGAGCCGCGUCGGGAGACGUUGCAUCGUCUCUACCCUCCGCGGAGGGCUCGCUAAAUGCCAAACCGCUAGUCGCACCGCCGCCGCUCUCGACACCAGCGAUGGCCGUGAACGCCGGCACACGGAAUCGACGAGCUUCAUUCCCUCCGGCGGCGUCGCCACCUCGCGAAGCAGCGUUGCCACCUCUUCAGUCCUGGACAUCGUCCUUCAUUCUCACGCCGGAACACCUGCAGGCCACCUCCGACGCCCACGGCGCGUCCGACAUCGCCUUUACUUUGGAGGAGUUGGAAAACACGCUCUUUUCUCCCGUCGUCGAGAGGACCGAGUGCGACGCGCAGCUGAAGAAGAGAGAGGCACCUACAGGGUUGUUUGACCCACCGCCACCGCCGGUGGCUCCUACAAUGCCGUGUAGUGAAGCGCCACCUGCACGACUCGAGCUCGUCCCAGCAGCACCAACGAUCGACACCGUCGACGCAGCAGCGCCACCUGUGGCGCAGACUGCUGCAUCGCCGAGGUCGACUCUCGACGGCCCAACCCCAGCCUCGCCUACUGCCAGCACAGCGCCUUUUCUGCCUUCGGCGGCAGGCUUUGCCACGACUUUCCCCCUCACCUCCUCUCCACCCACAUUCUCUGAUCGCCGUUGCUCACCAGCGAAGGUGUUCACCCGUGCGUCGCUCGCGACUCCCGUUCUCCGGUGCCGUCUACGCGGAUCAACGGUAUAUGUGAGCAUGACACGACCCUUCCCGACUCCCCGUGAGUUGCUGGAGGCCCUUCACGAGGCGGUCACGUUUAUCGAGUCGCUACCGGCUCUGCCGCAGGGCCCUCGGCUGGUGCGCCUGGGAGUGGAUUCGCCAAGCGCAGCGUCGGCCUCUCGCGCCUUCCUGGAACCGGCGGGGUGGACCGAAGUUACGUCUAGCGUGGAGGAGCGUGUGGCAGCGCAGCUUCUCAAAGAGCGGCUGCUGCAGCGUAUGACGGAGGGUCCCGUGCGCGGGCUGCGGUACAUCGCGGAGCUGCGCGCAGCUGAAGUGGAGGCGCCGCUGGUCGUCCGUGACACGGCGGCGGAGCUGCUGCUGGCCUGCACCACGUACGAGAUUUGUCCUUGCGCCCGGCCCGGUGUGGCGCUGAACGGUAGCACAGACGGUGCCGUGCGGCUUUCGUUUAGCGGAAUCGGCGUCGGUUUGUUUCCGGCGCCGUCGACCGUUCUGCGACUCAUGCAAGCGGUCGCGGCGAUGUGCGACGGAGAGGCAGAGCGCACGCUUCUCCUAGAGGCGCUAGCCCGCGCAGGCGGACGCCCUGCCGGCACGGUUGCUGCUCCGCAGGCGCGAGAUCUUGUUGUGGAAGUGAUGCAGCACCUGCACGACCUGCCUGUUGUGGUUUCCGCGGAACUGCUGAGGGGUUGCGUGGGUUCACAUGGAAGUACGAGGGAGAAAGCCAUGGGGGCAGCAGCGGGGGGUCGAGCACACAUAGUUCACUGGUUUAAUGCAGCGAAGGCAACAGCGAGGCAAUGGUGGGAGUUGGUGCAGGAACGUGGGCACGGAAUGUGGUCGACACCCAACAAACGCCUUGGCGCCUGCUCCGCGAGCGUGUCCUCCUGCCUCACCGCUAGCGAGGUGUGGAGGCGUUUGUGCGACGCGAUUCUCUCGCCCGCAGCCGAUGACGUCUCCAUACAUCAGGCUCUCUCCGACGCGAUGCAUUCUGCGCCUGUGCGGCGGUGCAGGCAGAACUACCUGGCUGUCGCCUCGCCUGCGUUUGCACACACAGCCACCUCUGAUUCCCCCUUGCGAGCCGUUGUCGUUGACGUCACUGCCUCCUCACUCCAGCACACGUCCGUGGCGGACCUCGCUUGUGAGAUUUGCGAGCAGCCGGCGGACGUGGUCCUCGCGCUAUCCAAUGAUGUGCGACUGCAGCAGAAGCUGCAUUUUCUCGCGUCACUGCACUUGACAGAGAGUGGCAGUCACCACUGCGUCACCGUAUUACUUCCCGGCGACCCGGCCGAGGUGGCCGAGUGCGUGUCUCUGACGCGGUCGUGUGCCCGCUUAGCACCGCAGCAGCCAUGCUACGAGGCGCAUCCGUCCGAGCUGCACCCAUGUCACCCGCGCUGGCUGCAUCAGCUUAUCGAGGUGAGCAACGCUCGUUCCUCUGCAGCCGUCCCAGGCAGCUCAUCAGCGCCCCAUGAUGCAGAACCUGCAUCACUCGCUGAGCUUUACGUCGCGCACGCGUGGCGCCGCCCGUGUGUGACGACGCGUACAAGCAGUGUAGGGCUGGAGAUGUCCGCUGCCGUGGCCUUUUCGUGGCAGCGGCUCAUCGCGACCGCCACAGGGGCAGCCCCGAAGAAGGUGCUUGUGGAGGAAUUUCAGCACACGCAUCUGGCACCGCUCGUGCUGCUGCGCCCGCCCGCCAAGAACGACGGUGGUGACCACGCGGCGCAGGCGUGGUGGACCGAAUAUGGCGAGAUGUCGAUAACACAAAAGGAGGCAGCAGCGUCGACCACCGUGCUGACGCUCAUGAAAAGCAUGAGUGCCGCUUGGCCGGUCCCCUCCUCGGCGUCUGGUCUCACGGCGCCUACCAAUCGUAGCAGCAGCUGCGUUUUCGAGUGCGGCGUUGCGUUUCUCUUUGUGCUCGACGUGGCAUGCCAAAGUUUGCUUCGUCGUGACAUUGAAUCACCGGAUCAGCUCAACGUUCUCUCCAUCGCGGCUCUCGGACUGGACAGCUCUGCUGGUGGUCUCGUGGAGGUGGCGGACCGCGUUGCUGGCGACGGUGUAGAGACACUUGUCUCUGCCAUGGAAGAGACGGCGGCGGUACACGGCGUCCGCUUUGCCUCGCUCGCGCUGCUCCGCUGGAUGGUGGAUAAUCGGCUUCUGCUUUAUCAGCUGACCCCACACACGAUUCACCGUUACACCACCUACUUGCAACACCGCGGCGUGUAGGGCGCGGGUGUGGCCUGGGCCCUGUCAGUUUGCAGUGAUCGCAGUGCGCAUUUUCGUGUGUGCGCGUGUGCGUGUGUUGCCGCUCUGACACCACGUUUGCCGUCAGAGCGCCACCUGCCACAGCUGCCGCGGGAGGGGGGAGGAAAGGAUGUGUGAUGCUCUUGUGCGCUUUCCGCUCUUUGCGCCGCUGCCUGCGUGGUUGUUUGUCGUGUUCCUGUUAAGAACGGCUCCCAGGCGCAGUGGGGUGCUUCACAUUGGCACUCGAGCACUUCG
rnacentral:misc_RNA from 1 species